rnacentral:rRNA from 1 species
UACGUAGGGACCAAGCGUUGUUCGGAUUUACUGGGCGUAAAGGGCGUGUAGGCGGCCUACUAAGUCGGACGUGAAAUCCCUCGGCUCAACCGAGGAACUGCGUCCGAUACUGGCAGGCUGGAAUCCGGGAGAGGGAUGUGGAAUUCCAGGUGUAGCGGUGAAAUGCGUAGAUAUCUGGAGGAACACCGGUGGCGAAGGCGGCAUCCUGGACCGGUAUUGACGCUGAGGCGCGAAAGCUAGGGGAGCAAACGGG